rnacentral:rRNA from 1 species
AUGUUCGGUCUCCCCACCGGGCACCCAGAAGUAGAGAUGAACUCUUUUGGAGGGAACCUAUUGAAGGAACUAUCCGUUGUGCACAAGCGAGCUCGAAAGGCUAUGAACAGUCUGGUAAAGGCGUUAUGGCUGACCGAGACGUCUCCAGAAGGGAUGGCUGAACUUGUCAAUCGGUUUAAAGGAGCUCGGCGUCUCUUGGAGUUAUGGAAGAUACCAGCUUGCCGAGAGGGAGCACAGGAGGCAUGGGCCAUGGUGAAGACCUAUUUUACCAAACUCGAGCCAGAACACAUGGUGCGUGUCGGACCGGCAGGGCCGGAUGGGCAAGAAAUACCUCUUUAA